UUCUGAUUCUCCUCCCAUAGU
ensembl:piRNA 21ur-4607 ncRNA